rnacentral:lncRNA from 1 species
AGCCUUUGAUGGGGAGAGUCUGAGAUGGGACCCAGGAACAUCACCAUGAAGCUGUCCAGGAUGGAUGUGGGACCCUCUGUCAGACCAGGCCAGUUCUCUUAAUGUAAGAUCAGCAGGCCAAGGUCCUGGGAUAUGGGAGCUCCCAGGAAGUGGACUGGGAUGCCUGAGGGAUCCAAGAAUUAGCAGUGUCCUGUGUGGUCUCGCUGAGGGAAGCCAGGCAAAAUCUAGCGGCUCAGCUGUAACAGCCGGAGCUCUUGGCUCCCAAGCAACAGGAAACAAUUCUGGCUUAUUUAAGCAGAAAAGGACUUUAUCAAAAGGAUCUUGGGGAACUCACAAAAUAACCAAGAGGGCUGAAGAAUACAGUUGGUGAGUCGACCAAGGAGGCUGCACAGCAGUCAGGACCACAGCCAAAGUCAGGCAAUCCAGGGAUGACCUCGCUGCCAAAUCCAGGACUCCCUGGCAUACACUGCCACCUUGGGACGUGGAUAUGGUCCCUGUCGCCCCAGGAACUGGAAUGCCAUUGACUUGGCGACUGCCACCAUCCACCAGAAUGGACUUCUGUGCUCCUUGCAUCUCUGUAUUAUUAGUUCCCAACUCCAAGCCUUUGAUGGGGGCAUCUGAUGGAUUGAGCCUAAGGAUUCUGAUGGUGCCUGUUGGCUGCUUCCGUGAUGUCUGGAGUUGCAAAAUGUGCCAGAAAGCAGAAGGAUACACCGCUAUUCAGAGAGGAUUUUCUUAGGGACUUGAAGAAAUUGACCUCAAAAUUUCAGUAGAUGAGAGGACUGUGGCUGGCCUGUGUCUUUGGCACUGGUUGUUGGAGCCCAAUGAAAAAUUCUACAUUGAAGACUAAGGGAAAAAGAGGUUUCAUUAUAGAGCUGGGACUGAUUGCAUUUUCAAAAGGUGGCUGCAACAAUAUCCCACACACUUUUCUGCUGUAUAAUCUGCCACUUCUCCAUCAAGUAGAGGAGACAAUUUCUCCCCUCCUUUGAAUCUGAGUGAGUUCUGUGACUGUUUUGACUGAUAGAAUGAUGUGGAAGACAGACUGUGUGACCUGAAAGGUGAGGUCACAGAAAGCCUUGCAACUUCCACCUGGCCUGUGAAGAACACUUGCUCUUGGGAUACUCCUUCUUGGAACCCAGCCACCAUGCUGUAAGAAGCCCAAUCUACAUGCAGACACCACAUAUAAGGCAUCGUAGUCAACAGCCACAGUUAAGUUCCCAGCCGGCAGCCAACAUCAACUACCAGUCUUGUGAGUGAGCUAUCUUGGACAUCCAGCUUGGUUAAACCUUCAGAUGACUCCAGCCCCAGCUGACACCUGACUGCAACCACAUGAGAAACCAGGAAUGAAAAUCCACCAGCUGAGCCCAGUCAACUCAUAGAACUGUGAGAGAUAAUAAUAAGUUGUGGUACUAAGCCACUAGGAUUGGGGCACCAUGCAAUAAUAGGUAACCAAGACAGUAGCAACUUUGGUUAGACACAUGAGCCAUGGGAUGACACAUAAUUAGGUAUAUUUUUAAAAACUUGGAUUCAGCUUUAGGGCAAUGUGUCCCUAACAUAGAGAGGCACUAUUUCAGUUCACAUCUGCUGCCUCUGAUCAAAACACUCUCUUGCACUUCCAGAGAGAGAGAGAGAGAGAGCAAAUGUGUGUAUUUACUGACAGGUGUCCCUUUGUGUCCCCAUCUGUGUGACUGUGGAGCUCAGUGUCUCUCACACAUUCUAGUAUGAUACUUGGUGCCAUAUUUGCAGGUCCUGAGGUAAGAACCCAUGCUGUUGUCUUCAGAGAGUUUCAUGGGUUGGACUGUGCCAUAUAUGGGCAAAAAUCCACCCACACGUUUUCUUUUAAUCACCUUUAUGGAUGUAUAAUUUACAUAUAUACUUUUUUCUUAUUACUUUUUAUUUAUGUAAUUUAUUCAUUUUUUGAGAUAGGGUCUCACUCUCUUGCCCAGGCUGGAGUGCAGUGGAGUGAUCAUGGCUCACUGCAGCCUUGACCUCCUGGGCUUAAGCAAUCCUCCCACUUCAGCCACCUGAGUAGCUGGGACCACAGGCACACACCACCACUCCUGGCUAAUUUAAAAAGUUGUUUUUUUUUUUUUUUUUGUAGAGACAGGGUCUCACUAUGUUGUCAAGGCUGGUCUCAAACUCCUGGGCUCAAGCGAUCCUAGUGCCUCAGCCUUCCAAAGUUCCGGGAUUACAAGCAUGAGCCACCAUGCCUGGCAUCUUUUGUGGAUGUGUAAUUUACAUACGUACAAUAAUAUGUACCUAUUUUAAGUAUACAGUUUGAUGAGCUUUGACGAAUGUAGCCCACGAAACCACCACCAUAAUCGAAGUAUAGAACUUUUUUUUUUUUUUUUUUUGAGACGAAGUCUCUCUCUUGUCACCCAGGCUGGAGUGCAAUGGCAUGAUCCCGGCUCACUGAAACUUCCGCCUCCCAGGUUCAAGCGAUUCUCCUGCCUCAGCCUCCUGAGUAGCUGGGAUUACAGGCACCUGCCACCACGCCCAGCUAAUUUUUGUAUUUUUAGUAGAGACAGGGUUUCACCAUGCUGGCCAGGCUGGUCUCGAGCUCCUGACCUCAGGUGAUCCCCCCUCCUCGGCCUCCCAAAGUGCUGGGAUUACAGGCAUGAGCCACUGCGCCCGGCCUAUAGAACAUUUUAAUCACCCCAGAGAUGUGCCCCCUGUGCAGCCAGUUCCCUCCUCUCACCCCCCAGCCCCUGGCAAGCAUUGAUUUGCUUUGCCACUAUCAAUCAAUUUUUGUCUUUUCUGGUAUUUCAUAUGAAUGGAAUCAUAUAGGAUAGAUUUUUAUGUGACUACACACUAUUUUAGCAUAAUAUUUUUGAAGUUCUUCCAUGUUGUUGUGUAUAUCUAUAGUUAAUUUCUUUUUCUCACUGAAUUGUAUACCACUGUAUGAUGUAUCACAAUUUGUUUAUUCAUUCUCCCGUUGCUGGACAUUUGGACUGUUUAUUGUUUGGGGCUACUAUGAAUAAAACUGCUAUGGAUGUUUAUGUAC